CAGGGAGGUAGUGACAAGAAAUAACAAUACGGGGCUUAAUGUCUUGUAAUUGGAAUGAUGGGAAUUUAUACCUCUUCCAGAGUAUCAAUUGGAGGGCAAGUCUGGUGCCAGCAGCCGCGGUAAUUCCAGCUCCAAUAGCGUAUAUUAAAAUUGUUGCAGUUAAAAAGCUCGUACUUGAAUUUCUGCUGCAUUGCUUUUGCUCCUUUACGAGUCUUUGCAUUGUGGCUUAUUUCGGACUUUGUUUUACAAUGUCCGGAUGUUUACUUUGAGAAAAUUAGAGUGCUCAAAGCAGGCUUUCGCCUUGAAUAGUUUAGCAUGGAAUAAUAAAGUACGACUUUGGUUCUAUUUUGUUGGUUUUAUGUACCACACUAAUGGUUAAUAGGAACAGUUGGGGGCAUUCAUAUUUAACUG
rnacentral:rRNA from 1 species